rnacentral:rRNA from 1 species
AGUCGACGGAAAGGCCCUUCGGGGUACUCGAGUGGCGAACGGGUGAGUAACACGUGGGUGAUCUGCCCUGCACUUUGGGAUAAGCCUGGGAAACUGGGUCUAAUACCGAAUAGGACCACGCGCUUCAUGGUGUGUGGUGGAAAGCUUUUGCGGUGUGGGAUGGGCCCGCGGCCUAUCAGCUUGUUGGUGGGGUAAUGGCCUACCAAGGCGACGACGGGUAGCCGGCCUGAGAGGGUGACCGGCCACACUGGGACUGAGAUACGGCCCAGACUCCUACGGGAGGCAGCAGUGGGGAAUAUUGCACAAUGGGCGCAAGCCUGAUGCAGCGACGCCGCGUGAGGGAUGACGGCCUUCGGGUUGUAAACCUCUUUCAAUAGGGACGAAGCGCAAGUGACGGUACCUAUAGAAGAAGCACCGGCCAACUACGUGCCAGCAGCCGCGGUAAUACGUAGGGUGCGAGCGUUGUCCGGAAUUACUGGGCGUAAAGAGCUCGUAGGUGGUUUGUCGCGUUGUUCGUGAAAACUCACAGCUUAACUGUGGGCGUGCGGGCGAUACGGACAGACUAGAGUACUGCAGGGGAGACUGGAAUUCCUGGUGUAGCGGUGGAAUGCGCAGAUAUCAGGAGGAACACCGGUGGCGAAGGCGGGUCUCUGGGCAGUAACUGACGCUGAGGAGCGAAAGCGUGGGGNNNGAACAGGAUUAGAUACCCUGGUAGUCCACGCCGUANACGGUGGGUACUAGGUNNNGNUUCCUUCCUUGGGAUCCGUGCCGUAGNNNNNNNAUUAAGUACCCCGCC